UUCACCCAGACGGCCACACUCACUCACUCACUCACUCACAAUGGACAACAAUACCUCUCGCUCUGAGGUUUCCGACUGCGGCGAUCCAACGAGGCCGGAGUCCGGCGGCGGCGGUGCUAGGUACAAGCUGAUGUCGCCGGCCAAGCUUCCGAUCUCGAGGUCGGCUUGCAUCACGAUCCCUCCUGGACUCAGUCCGACCUCGUUUCUUGAGUCUCCAGUUCUUCUCUCUAAUGUUAAGGCAGAGCCUUCCCCCACUACUGGUACGUUUACUAAGCCUCGAACAGCUCUUGGCUCUCUUAGCUCCACUCCAUAUUCUGCUACAACUGUUUCAUCCACAGCGUGCGGAGAAAGAAAAUCCGACUACUUUGAGUUUAGACCAUAUGCUAGGUCAAACAUGGUUUCUGCAGAUAUAAACCAUCAGAGGAGCACACAAUGUGCUCAAGUCCAAAGCCAGUGCCAUUCACAAUCAUUUGCCUCACCACCUUUGGUAAAAGGUGAGAUGGAAGUAUCCACAAAUGAGUUGAGUCUGUCAGCAUCCCUUCACAUGGUUACUUCAGUUGCUAGUGCACCUGCUGAAGUUGAUUCAGAUGAACUAAACCAAACGGGGCUCUCUAGCAGUGGGCUUCAGGCAUCACAGUCUGAUCAUAGAGCAGGAACUGCGCCUUCAAUGUCAUCUGAUGAUGGAUAUAACUGGAGAAAAUAUGGACAGAAACAUGUUAAGGGAAGUGAGUUCCCUCGAAGCUAUUACAAAUGUACACAUCCUAACUGUGAAGUGAAAAAGUUAUUUGAGCGCUCCCAUGAUGGACAAAUAACAGAGAUUAUCUACAAGGGUACACAUGAUCAUCCUAAACCACAACCCAGCCGCCGAUAUGCCUCUGGUUCUGUUUUGUCCAUGCAGGAAGAUAGAUUUGACAAGUCUUCAUCUCUGCCUAACCAAGGUGACAAGUCACCUGGUGCUUAUGGACAGGUGCCUCAUGCUAUCGAGCCAAAUGGUGCCCUUGAACUGUCUACUGGAGCAAAUGAUGAUACUGGAGAAGGUGCCGAAGACGAUGAUGAUCCCUUCUCAAAAAGAAGGAGGUUGGAUGCUGGAGGUUUUGAUGUUACUCCAGUGGUCAAACCUAUCCGGGAACCACGUGUUGUCGUGCAAACUCUGAGUGAGGUUGAUAUACUGGAUGAUGGGUACAGGUGGCGCAAAUAUGGCCAGAAAGUGGUGAGAGGAAAUCCUAAUCCAAGGAGUUACUACAAAUGCACAAAUGCUGGAUGCCCAGUUAGAAAGCACGUUGAGAGGGCAUCGCAUGAUCCAAAAGCAGUUAUAACCACAUAUGAGGGGAAACACAAUCAUGAUGUACCUACAGCUAGGACAAACAGUCAUGACAUGGCGGGACCAUCAGCUGUGAAUGGACCCUCAAGGAUUAGACCAGAUGAAAACGAGACAAUUAGCCUUGAUCUUGGGGUCGGGAUCAGUUCUACAACUGAAAACCAGUCCAGCGAUCAGCAACAAGCUUUGCAUGCUGAACUUAUCAAACACGAGAACCAAGCAAGUGGUUCUAGUUUCAGAGUAGUUCAUGCAACCCCAAUUACGGCUUACUAUGGUGUUUUAAAUGGUGGCAUGAAUCAGUAUGGAUCUAGGCAAAUUCCAGGUGAAAGCCGUAGCAUUGAAAUUCCACCUUAUCCAUAUCCGCAGAACAUGGGAAGAUUAUUAACGGGUCCAUAAGUUUGUCUGAGUUUUAAAUUUGUUUCCCGCAUCCUUGCCUUACAGCUGGUAAAUGGCAAAAGGACAAAAUGACCUAGAUCAUUCUCUCACCGGAGUUUAUCUAAGAGCGGCUUGUCUUUUGGUGCCUUGCCCCUGUAGCAUAAAGCAAUCUGGUAAGCAGACCUCUAUGGAAUAAACCUGUUGCAAACGCUACUGGAAUGGUUCCACCUAAUAGGUAAUCCAGGGAAAUUUGAUAGUGCAGAUGUUAAUGCAUGUUUAACAGAGUGUAUUAGAGAGAAUGUAAUGUAUGAAAUAUGUCUUCCUCCAUGUAUUAUCUAGAUAUAAUUAUAAGGAAUCUUAUUAAAUAAGUAAAAUACAUAAUACAAUUAAAAUAAACUUAUAACAUAAAGUGUCAACCCAGUUCUAGGUCCCCUAAAAUUCUUUUAUGUAAAAAAUAUUUUCCUUUAUUUUAAAAUAUUAAAAAAAACUCCAAAAACAUAAAAAA